UACGUAGGGUGCAAGCGUUGUCCGGAAUUAUUGGGCGUAAAGGGCUCGUAGGCGGUUUGUCGCGUCGGGAGUGAAAACACUGGGCUUAACUCAGUGCCUGCUUUUGAUACGGGCAGACUAGAGGCAUGCAGGGGAGAACGGAAUUCCUGGUGUAGCGGUGAAAUGACGCAGAUAUCAGGAGGAACACCGGUGGCGAAGGCGGUUCUCUGGGCAUGUCCUGACGCUGAGGAGCGAAAGUGUGGGGAGCGAACAGG
rnacentral:rRNA from 1 species